UCUCUAGUGCAGAAAAAUUUGUAUCGUUUGUGUGUUUAAUUCAGUUUUAGUGUGACGAAAUGGAUAAAAGAAUAAUUGAAAGGAUAAAAAAGUAUUAUGAAACACUCGUGGACGAAAGGGAUAUUUUUCUAGAAACAUCGGACAAAUUAUUAAAAAAUAUAUUGCAACUCGUGGAGUUACCAAACUUUCACCCAAACGGCGGUAAAUUUCUAAGUGGGCAGGUACUGGAAUACGAAAUGAAAGUUCUGAAGCUAUUUAGUGAGAUCAAUGUUUCACUUCUGAAUUUCCUUCACACUGAAAUCAUUCCAACACUGUGCGGGACAAAUUAUUCUCGGGGACAAGAAGACGCCUGUCAAGAUCUUGGUGAUUACUUAAAAGUGACCGUAAAUUCAGAAUUUCCUAUUUUCGUCUCGUCCAAGGAAGGAGCUCCGAAACUGAACAACUGUGAGGUUCAGAAUGGUUCCUAUGCAAAAAAACCAUUGGACAAUGACCUGCUAAAGAUAAUAUGUGCCAAUUUGACAACCGGAACUCAAACCAACCUUGAAAAACCGGAAACUAGUGGAGAAAAUGAUUCUCUCAUUUUGUCUCAAUUUUCCGAGAGUGAACCAACUUCGUCAAGUUCCAUGAGUUAUCAGCAUCCCAUUACAAAAUUUCAAUAUUUGACAAACCAAAUGCCGGAAGGAUACGAAAUACCCAACGAUGUUUUGGUUGUUAAGGAAUACCUUAAAGAAUUGAACUCCAAACACGGUCUUGAUGAUAAUGUAAUCAGUGAGAUGAAACGGGAAUUCGGCAAAACUAUUCCUAGUUUAAAUUAUGAGUAUGAGAUGCCAGUGAGGGAGACGGCCAAGUGCAGUGCGGGAGGACCGAGCUUUUCCAAAGUUGUGCCAGCUGGGAGCGCAGACGUCGGUCCCGUCCUGCAACCCACUACCACCAAAUAUCACAGUCCACCGCAGUCACUUGGACGCUGCGGAAAACCUCCGGAACCAGUUCCUAGCACGUCCACCGCGUCGCUCCUCAACAAUCAAAUUUUAGCGGCGCAUCGAGAAGACUCGAAAAUCGACCUAAUCGAGUUUAGCAAUUCGGACACGGACUCGGACUUGUUGGACAGGACAAGCGCUGUGCCCAGUGCGCUUGUAAAAUUGAAGAGCAAAAAAAGGCACGACCGGGACGAAGAGGCGAGGCAGAAAGUACUAGAAGAAUCGAUGCCGGAUAUAAGAUUCGUACCUGCAGAACCGCCCGCUGUAAUCAAGAAUAAUUUAAAUGGCAGCUGUGUGAGUCGGGCCAAAACGAAAGAUCGCAAUCUGGCGGCCGCCCUCUGCGAAUUGAAAAAUUUGCCGGUUCCGGCACUGCAUACGGCGUGUGUUUUCUGUCACGUGGAUUCUCCGACCGAAUUUUACAUUCAACCGGUGACCGACGAUUGUCUGCUCGACUGGGUGAGCUACACGUUAUCUGCGAAAUUAAAAGGCUCUCACCCCGAAUUCGUUACGAAACAAGAGGCGUUCUCAAAAUUAGGAAAAUACUGCGUGGCUUACGUCUUGGAGCAGAAGGAAUGGUACAGGAUGCGCGUGCUCGAUUGGAAAUUGGGGAAUAACACCAGAGAGGUGGAGGUGCAGUCGGUCGAUUAUGGCUUCAGGCUCGCCCUCUCCUUCACUUAUUUACGGAGCAUGACAAAAGAGGUCGCCGAUGUCCCAAUGCAGGCCAUCAGAUGCCAUUUGCCAUUCCUUUAUCCUCCUGGUUCCACUUUUAUGAAUCGCUUGACCGAAUGGCCACUGUCUUCGGUAGAAGGAAUGUUGGAAAUUGUAAAUGUAUACGGCCAAGAUACUGGCAAUAUCAGUUUUUUCAGGAUCGACCACGCUGUUCUAGAAGGGAAGUCCUUAGCGGUAGAUUUGAGUCCUUACGGUAAACCCGGAUCGGAUACUGUUGGACAAAUGCUGAUAGAUCUAGAAGUCGCGGUUCAAAUCAUCGAUGACUUUCUAGGUCACUCGGAGCUGGGCGAAUUUCUAGAAGACAUUGACGAAUUGGAAAACGGGGACAACCUGAACGAACUUCUAAUCGGUUACGAUGCUAGGGAUGAGGCUCGCAUAUGCAGAUUCACGAGGUCCGACGGCAGCUGUUACAAGGGAAAACACUGCAAACUCGAACACGUCGCUCUACCGAAAGAUGGUUACACGACAGACACCGUGCCUGUACAUUACAGGUGCGCCAACGACUUGCGGCUUCCGAAAAAUGGCGACCACAUCCAGGUUCUGAUCUCUGAGUACGUCGACUCGUGCACCUUCCUAGCACAAAUUAUAAGGAACCCCGUCAAGGACGACAGCGGUAUAGUGAUGGACAAGGAGCUCAGAGAUUUGGUGGCGGCGAUGAACCACGCGAAAGUGACAAGCACGUACGAACCGCUGAAGGUGUGGCCGGCGAUCGGUGAAAUGGUCGUAGCGUACCAUUUCACGAAAACAUGGAUGAGGGGCGUGGUCAGUGACUCGAAGAAGAACGAAAUCGGUGACGUGAUAUCCGUGAAGGUUUACAUGAUGGAUUUCGGCGACACUUUGGAGGUAAAAUUGAAAGAGUUGAGGAAAAUGAAGGAGGAGUUUACGCGUCUUCCAGCUCAGAUCGUAAAGCUUUACCUAUACAACUUCCAACACAAAGCGGCUUGCGACGCAAAGCGUGCCCGAAAAUUCUUCGAGAAGAAUAUUGCGUAUCGCAAUUUUGUGGCGCAUAUCAUGAGGUUCAAAGCGGUGCGAGGUGACCUUUCAUAUAUGAAACAGACCAGUCAUGGGGGACACGAGAUGUGGAAAGUUUAAGCGUAGUCGUCGCCACAUUGCUGCCAACAUGGCAUAUAUAAGGAAUCACGAACCAUUCAGGAAUAUUGAGACUUAGACCAGUAUCUUUUUAAGUCGGCAUGUGGGGUAAAGAAGAUGCAGAAGCUUCAGUCGAGUACCAUCGGUCACGUAGGCGAUUGAUAUAUUCCCACCAUUACAUAUGUUGGAUUGGAAUUUCCCAUUUGAUGCUUUGACUGACUAAAUGAGAAAACUUGGAGUUAAGCUAUUACGGAAUUCUAUGGAAAUAUGUUUAGUAACAUAUUGGUGCAUUACUCUGUCUUCCAAUUUGGUGCCAGCCAGCUUCCAGUUCCGAAAAAAGAAAUCCAACACUUUUCGUCUUUAUUUCUCCUGUCCUAGAGGGUGCAGAUGGUCACGCGAACAAUAUGAUCAAGUCUCAUUGACGCCAUUGCUUUUCUUACGGGUGGGAAAAUAUCUGGGCUUUGAUUGGCUUCGCCGCCAUCGCAAACUAGAGGAGGGGGAUUGAUUAAACCCCACAUUUCUGGUUGCUUAUCCAAUGGGGGCCAGUUUCAAGGGAUUAUGGGUAAAGGGGGAGGAGCUAGAGGGUCGUGGGGAAGGAGGACACGCCAACAAAAAGGGAGAGGAGUGGGGAUGAACUAUAGUGUACCUUUAUACUACUUACAAUCAAUGACAUUUUCCUUACGCUGAAUUUCAUUCGGAGCAUGGUCCGAGCUAGCCGACCCUGAUAUUUGGUCUUCGUACGCACCAUGGCAAGUCAAAUUAACAAAUUCCAAAGGUCGCGAAGUAGGCGAGAUUGUAGAAAAGGAGGGAUUCGCAGAGAAGCGGAUCAGGGACGUCCACGUCCUGGAUGAUAACGGACUGAUGU